GGGUUGUGAGGUUAAGCGACUAAGCGUACACGGUGGAUGCCCUGGCAGUCAGAGGCGAUGAAGGACGUGCUAAUCUGCGAUAAGCGUCGGUAAGGUGAUAUGAACCGUUAUAACCGGCGAUUUCCGAAUGGGGAAACCCAGUGUGUUUCGACACACUAUCAUUAACUGAAUCCAUAGGUUAAUGAGGCGAACCGGGGGAACUGAAACAUCUAAGUACCCCGAGGAAAAGAAAUCAACCGAGAUUCCCCCAGUAGCGGCGAGCGAACGGGGAGGAGCCCAGAGCCUGAAUCAGUGUGUGUGUUAGUGGAAGCGUCUGGAAAGGCGCGCGAUACAGGGUGACAGCCCCGUACACAAAAAUGCACAUGCUGUGAGCUCGAUGAGUAGGGCGGGACACGUGGUAUCCUGUCUGAAUAUGGGGGGACCAUCCUCCAAGGCUAAAUACUCCUGACUGACCGAUAGUGAACCAGUACCGUGAGGGAAAGGCGAAAAGAACCCCGGCGAGGGGAGUGAAAAAGAACCUGAAACCGUGUACGUACAAGCAGUGGGAGCACGCUUCGGCGUGUGACUGCGUACCUUUUGUAUAAUGGGUCAGCGACUUAUAUUCUGUAGCAAGGUUAACCGAAUAGGGGAGCCGAAGGGAAACCGAGUCUUAACUGGGCGUUAAGUUGCAGGGUAUAGACCCGAAACCCGGUGAUCUAGCCAUGGGCAGGUUGAAGGUUGGGUAACACUAACUGGAGGACCGAACCGACUAAUGUUGAAAAAUUAGCGGAUGACUUGUGGCUGGGGGUGAAAGGCCAAUCAAACCGGGAGAUAGCUGGUUCUCCCCGAAAGCUAUUUAGGUAGCGCCUCGUGAAUUCAUCUCCGGGGGUAGAGCACUGUUUCGGCAAGGGGGUCAUCCCGACUUACCAACCCGAUGCAAACUGCGAAUACCGGAGAAUGUUAUCACGGGAGACACACGGCGGGUGCUAACGUCCGUCGUGAAGAGGGAAACAACCCAGACCGCCAGCUAAGGUCCCAAAGUCAUGGUUAAGUGGGAAACGAUGUGGGAAGGCCCAGACAGCCAGGAUGUUGGCUUAGAAGCAGCCAUCAUUUAAAGAAAGCGUAAUAGCUCACUGGUCGAGUCGGCCUGCGCGGAAGAUGUAACGGGGCUAAACCAUGCACCGAAGCUGCGGCAGCGACACUAUGUGUUGUUGGGUAGGGGAGCGUUCUGUAAGCCUGUGAAGGUGUACUGUGAGGUAUGCUGGAGGUAUCAGAAGUGCGAAUGCUGACAUAAGUAACGAUAAAGCGGGUGAAAAGCCCGCUCGCCGGAAGACCAAGGGUUCCUGUCCAACGUUAAUCGGGGCAGGGUGAGUCGACCCCUAAGGCGAGGCCGAAAGGCGUAGUCGAUGGGAAACAGGUUAAUAUUCCUGUACUUGGUGUUACUGCGAAGGGGGGACGGAGAAGGCUAUGUUGGCCGGGCGACGGUUGUCCCGGUUUAAGCGUGUAGGCUGGUUUUCCAGGCAAAUCCGGAAAAUCAAGGCUGAGGCGUGAUGACGAGGCACUACGGUGCUGAAGCAACAAAUGCCCUGCUUCCAGGAAAAGCCUCUAAGCAUCAGGUAACAUCAAAUCGUACCCCAAACCGACACAGGUGGUCAGGUAGAGAAUACCAAGGCGCUUGAGAGAACUCGGGUGAAGGAACUAGGCAAAAUGGUGCCGUAACUUCGGGAGAAGGCACGCUGAUAUGUAGGUGAAGUCCCUCGCGGAUGGAGCUGAAAUCAGUCGAAGAUACCAGCUGGCUGCAACUGUUUAUUAAAAACACAGCACUGUGCAAACACGAAAGUGGACGUAUACGGUGUGACGCCUGCCCGGUGCCGGAAGGUUAAUUGAUGGGGUCAGCGCAAGCGAAGCUCUUGAUCGAAGCCCCGGUAAACGGCGGCCGUAACUAUAACGGUCCUAAGGUAGCGAAAUUCCUUGUCGGGUAAGUUCCGACCUGCACGAAUGGCGUAAUGAUGGCCAGGCUGUCUCCACCCGAGACUCAGUGAAAUUGAACUCGCUGUGAAGAUGCAGUGUACCCGCGGCAAGACGGAAAGACCCCGUGAACCUUUACUAUAGCUUGACACUGAACAUUGAGCCUUGAUGUGUAGGAUAGGUGGGAGGCUUUGAAGUGUGGACGCCAGUCUGCAUGGAGCCGACCUUGAAAUACCACCCUUUAAUGUUUGAUGUUCUAACGUUGACCCGUAAUCCGGGUUGCGGACAGUGUCUGGUGGGUAGUUUGACUGGGGCGGUCUCCUCCUAAAGAGUAACGGAGGAGCACGAAGGUUGGCUAAUCCUGGUCGGACAUCAGGAGGUUAGUGCAAUGGCAUAAGCCAGCUUGACUGCGAGCGUGACGGCGCGAGCAGGUGCGAAAGCAGGUCAUAGUGAUCCGGUGGUUCUGAAUGGAAGGGCCAUCGCUCAACGGAUAAAAGGUACUCCGGGGAUAACAGGCUGAUACCGCCCAAGAGUUCAUAUCGACGGCGGUGUUUGGCACCUCGAUGUCGGCUCAUCACAUCCUGGGGCUGAAGUAGGUCCCAAGGGUAUGGCUGUUCGCCAUUUAAAGUGGUACGCGAGCUGGGUUUAGAACGUCGUGAGACAGUUCGGUCCCUAUCUGCCGUGGGCGCUGGAGAACUGAGGGGGGCUGCUCCUAGUACGAGAGGACCGGAGUGGACGCAUCACUGGUGUUCGGGUUGUCAUGCCAAUGGCACUGCCCGGUAGCUAAAUGCGGAAGAGAUAAGUGCUGAAAGCAUCUAAGCACGAAACUUGCCCCGAGAUGAGUUCUCCCUGACCCUUUAAGGGUCCUGAAGGAACGUUGAAGACGACGACGUUGAUAGGCCGGGUGUGUAAGCGCAGCGAUGCGUUGAGCUAACCGGUACUAAUGAACCGUGAGGCUUAACCUUACAACGCCGAAGCUGUU
rnacentral:rRNA from 1 species